rnacentral:rRNA from 1 species
AUUGAACGCUGGCGGCAGGCUUAACACAUGCAAUUCGAACGAGUGGCGGACGGGUGAGUAAUGCAUGGGAAACUGCCUUUUGGAGGGGGAUAACUACUGGAAACGGUAGCUAAUACCGCAUACCAUCAGAUGUGCCCAGAUGGGAUUAGCUAGUUGGUGGGGUAAAGGAUCACCAAGGCGACGAUCCCUAGCUGGUCUGAGAGGAUGACAAGCCACACUGGAACGGAGACACGUCCCAGACUCCUACGGGAGGCAGCAGUUGGGAAUAUUGCACAAUGGGCGCAAGCCUGAUGCAGCCAUGCCGCGUGUAUGAAGAAGGCCUUAGGGUUGUAAAGUACUUUCAGCGGGGAGGCGUUACCCGCAGAAGAAGCACCGGCUAACUCCGUGCCAGCAGCCGCGGUAAUAC